rnacentral:rRNA from 1 species
GAGUUUGAUCUUGGCUCAGAUUGAACGCUGGCGGCAUGCCUUACACAUGCAAGUCGAACGGUAACGCGGGGCAACCUGGCGACGAGUGGCGAACGGGUGAGUAAUGCAUCGGAACGUGCCUGGUAGUGGGGGAUAACUGCUCGAAAGAGCAGCUAAUACCGCAUACGACCUGAGGGUGAAAGGGGGGGAUCGCAAGACCUCUCGCUAUCAGAGCGGCCGAUGUCGGAUUAGCUAGUUGGUGGGGUAAAGGCCCACCAAGGCAACGAUCCGUAGCUGGUCUGAGAGGACGACCAGCCACACUGGGACUGAGACACGGCCCAGACUCCUACGGGAGGCAGCAGUGGGGAAUUUUGGACAAUGGACGCAAGUCUGAUCCAGCCAUGCCGCGUGCGGGAGAAGGCCUUCGGUU